rnacentral:rRNA from 1 species
GACGAACGCUGGCGGCGUGCUUAACACAUGCAAGUCGAGCGAGAACCGGAGCUUCGGCUCCGGGGACAGCGGCGAACGGGUGAGUAACACGUGGGUAACCUGCCCUCGGCACCGGGAUAGCCCGGGGAAACCCGGAUUAAUACCGGAUGGCCCUUCCGCUCUUCGGGGCGGUCGGAGAAGGUAGCUUCGGCCUCCGGCCGAGGAUGGGCCCGCGGCGGGUUGGCUUGUUGGUGAGGUAACGGCUCACCAAGGCUCCGAUCCGUAGCUGGUCUGAGAGGACGAUCAGCCACACGGGGCCUGAGACACGGCCCAGAGUCCUCCGCGAGGCAGCAGUAGGGAAUCUUGCACAAUGGGGGCAAGCCUGAUGCAGCGACCCCGCGUGCGGGAAGACGGCCUUCGGGUUGUAAACCGCUUUCUGGAGGGACGAAGCCACUCGGGUGAAUAGCCCAGAGGGUGACGGUACCUCCAGAAGAAGCCCCGGCUAACUACGUGCCAGCCGCCGCGGUAACAC